GAUGAACGCUGGCGGCGUGCUUAACACAUGCAAGUCGAGCGAAGCACUUUAUUUGAUUUCCUUCGGGACUGAUUAUUUUGUGACUGAGUGGCGGACGGGUGAGUAACGCGUGGGUAACCUGCCUUGUACAGGGGGAUAACAGUUGGAAACGGCUGCUAAUACCGCAUAAGCGCACAGCAUCGCAUGAUGCAGUGUGAAAAACUCCGGUGGUAUAAGAUGGACCCGCGUUGGAUUAGCUAGUUGGUGAGGUAACGGCCCACCAAGGCGACGAUCCAUAGCCGACCUGAGAGUGUGACCGGCCACAUUGGGACUGAGACACGGCCCAAACUCCUACGGGAGGCAGCAGUGGGGAAUAUUGCACAAUGGGCGAAAGCCUGAUGCAGCGACGCCGCGUGAGCGAAGAAGUAUUUCGGUAUGUAAAGCUCUAUCAGCAGGGAAGAUAAUGACGGUACCUGACUAAGAAGCACCGGCUAAAUACGUG
rnacentral:rRNA from 1 species